GGGGCCGACUGGUUUUGACAGCAGGUCGAAUUGGAUGGUAAGCACGUCAGGAACGGGGACAUAUCCUGUAACUCAUGUCUCAAACUUUUAAACGGCGAAAAUAACUACGCUCUUGCUGCUUAAUUCUGAAUUUAUAGUAAGAAUAUAGCCACGUCCCUGCAAGGCAGGGAGGCGGGAUCCUUCUGAAAAGCCUUGGUUUAUGGCGUUUCGAUUAGAAGGACCGUAAAAGUAAACCUAGAAGUCUUUUUGCUUCGGAAAGGCUUCGAAAUUUUAGAAGCUAAGUAUUACGUGGUAGUUUUCAACCUAUCGUAAUAUCGAAAAUGUAAAUGAGAACUAAACGUGUAGAAAGCUAUUGAAUUGCCUGUUUGGACCCGGGUUCGAUUCCCGGCGGCUCCAC
rnacentral:tmRNA from 1 species